CCGGAGGGAACCCACGCAGUCACAGGGAGAACAUGCAAACUCCACACAGAAAGAUCCCGAGCCCGGGAUGAACUCAGGACUACUCAGGACCUUCGUAUUGUACAUAUUCCGUACAAUUGACCACUAAAUGAUUUCCAAUGAUUGUGUCACGCCCACGCAGCGACAAGGCUGCAGGCAAUCAGGAAUCUGCGCACCUGGGACUAAUGAGAAGGAGCGGCAUAAAGUCCAGCGGACCCGAGGAACCUUUGCCAGAAUGUAGCCUAUCUUCACAUAUCUUCCCCGUCUCCUUUGAUCGAGUAUUGCUUCUCGACUUCCAUCCGGAUUUCUGACUGCUUUCCCUGAUCCUCGACCCCUGCUUGGACACGGACAUCGUUGCCUCUCUCCAACCCUCGACUGCUUGCCUCCCCACGGACUGCCUCUUCGCCUUGCCCCCUUGGUUCGACAAAGGAUUCAUCCAACACGCAGCAACCUCUGUCCAAGGACAUCUGGAAUCUGUCCAUAAGGAGGGGGGUACUGUCACGGCCCGAGCUCGAACCUGAUUUUCUCCGGCAGCUGGGUCUGCCAGCAUCUCCGUUGGCAACGCGCCGACACACGCCCCUGCUCGCACUGGCCGCGUCAAGCCCACAUGCUGGCAUGGCUGUGGGCGAACAGCAAUCUGCACACCUGGGACUGAUGAGGGCGAGCUGUAUAAAGACCAGUGGACCCAAGAAUCCUUGCCGGAACGUAAUCUUCAGCGACCUGUUGCUUCCUGUGAUCCCCUGUUGUUCCCCUCUGGAUUCUGGACUGCCUCCCUAUCCUCGACCUCCGCUAAGCACACGGACCCCUUGACGCCUCUCUCAGCCCCUCCCGCUUGGAUCACGGACCUUCUUCUGCUUGCCCCUUUGGACUUGUCUGCUUUCCUCAUCCAACAAUUCGGUAACACUCAACAGCUAAUCUGUCAUACACAUAGUCUCCCACCAUACACCCCUUUUGGAUUAGUCACACUCCAUUCUCUUGUUUAGUGUGUAUAUAUAUUGAGUAGUGUGUGUGUAUGUAUGUGUGUAUAUAUGUAUGAGCAACAUCACCCCCUUGUUGAACUGUGCCGUCACUACGCCCCCUGUAUACAUAACACAUUGUCAUCCAAAAUGUUUUGCCAAAUUCUGCUUCCCAGUCUAUUCUAAUUUUGUCAAGAGAUGUCUCUUUAAGAUGGUUCUUCCAUUUCCAUUUCCACAUCCACACCCUUCCAUUAAAAUUUGUGAAUUCUUCUCCCUAAGAAAAACAAUAAUUUAAACACAUUUGCUUCAAAUUUUAACUGCACUGAUGUCUUUACAACUAAGCAAUUAGAACAGAUUACGUGUAGUCUUUCAUGUGUUCCGGAUUGGAUUUAAUCCUUUCUUGGCAUACAAGGUCAGUGACCAUGUGUCAAAACAGUAUAAUAUGGUUCAACUAUACAAAAAAAUAAAAACUGUACAAUACAAUAUACACACUCCUGCAUUAAAAUAGCAUGUCAAACAUUUCUAAAAUGUUUUAAAGAAAAAUGUAAUUUAAAAAAAUGUGUACGCAAGUACUACACUUAAGACCUUCAGUAUAUCCGUAUGAGGAAUUAAAUUAUGGAAUGGAUUAAGCAAAUUAAUCAAUGUACUAAUAUAAUC